rnacentral:rRNA from 1 species
UACGGAGGGUGCAAACGUUGCUCGGAAUCAUUGGGCGUAAAGCGCACGUAGGCGGUCUCGCAAGUUGGGUGUGAAAGCCCUCGGCUUAACCGAGGAAGUGCAUUCAAAACUUACGAGACUUGAAUACUGGAGAGGGUUGCGGAAUUCCCGGUGUAGAGGUGAAAUUCGUAGAUAUCGGGAGGAACACCAGUGGCGAAGGCGGCAACCUGGACAGAUAUUGACGCUGAGGUGCGAAAGCGUGGGGAGCAAACAGGGA